GCAGUUCUUCGUCAACCAGUUUUUGAGACUGAGUGGCAUUUGAAUGGUCUCCUAUUUGCAAACCAUCUCCUAAAUCCCUGGAUCAGUUUGAGCCUUACUAAGGAAGCACUCUUUGAACCAGGUUUUUCAGUGGUCUACUCGUUUUCUUCCUAGGUUGCGUCUGGAGGUUGAAGAUGAAACAAACCCCUUCCCAUGAUGGUACUAUUAACUGUUUUGCCCUCAGCUUUAAUCUUUAAUCUCAUAAAUCCUUAUUUUGCUUUUAGUUCCUAGCUUACCCUUUCUACUAGCACAUUAUAAUACUUUGCUUAUGUUUUGGAGUUCUAACAAAUUACAACUUUGCCAAUCUUAUGAACUUCAACUUAUUUACAGAAUUGCCACCCUCUUUGUAGACAUUGAUUUAUUUACUGUUUUGCCACUUGAACUUUGGUUAUGGGUGUUUCCUUGUUUUGGUGGGCCCACAAGCUAUCCAAUAAGGGUAACUCUGACCCGGAUUGCACCAAGAAGUUUAGAGAGAUCACACACUAGAAGAGUCACGAUAGAGAGAGAAAACUGCUGGAAUACCUACAGAACAGUAAUGGAAGAAAAAGAAGAAAAGAAGGAAUAUAGUGGUCUGCAGUUGGGCAUCACCACCCGCCCUCCCUCCAAAGGCUUCACCAUCUCAGCUGCAUGCGGCAACUGAAUCACCACAGUGCACACACACACACACAGAGUUCCUUUUGUCUUAACUUCCAAAUUGAAGCUAAAUCACCGCAGUGCACACGCUCACAUAGGAUUUUUUAUCAAAACAUCCACAUCAUUUAACGAAUGAGUUAUUACGAAAAUAGAAACCCCCUAUGCGUGGGGAAUUACUUGGCUUCCAAGAAAGCUUUAGAAUGGAAACCUUCUAUAGAGGAUCCAUUGCUAGUACAUUGAAAAUAGAAAGCAAUAAAAAUAGAGCUGUUAAAAUAUGUACCACGAUAUGGGGAGUGUCUCUAUCGUGUAUGAGUUUUACCUUCCUGUUUUAGUUUAUUUAUUUCCCUAGUUAGGUUAGAUCGCUACUUACUAAUUAGGAUAGAUUUCCUAUUUUAUUUUGCUUGUGGCACAAGGACUUGGUUUCCUAGUUUGAUUCUACUUCUUUUGGAGUUAAUAAAUAUUGAUGGUAGGGGGGGACUGAGAUUAUAAUUGGCUGCUCCCCUCUUACAGUCUCUCUUCUCUUCUUCUCUCUCAAUCUCUUUCUCUCCUCUUACUCUCUCAAGUUACUGGUUACAGAUCUUGGUUUCGUAACAUGGCAUCAGAGCUGUAACCAGUAGCUGUUUUGAGAGUCGUUCUAAGAUCUCAUGCUAUUGUGAAGAGUUCUUAGAAAAAUAAGAACUAGGGUUUCAAUGAUUUUGUUCGUGUAAGUCGUCGGUUCCUUUUGCUUAGUUUGCUGGUUCGUGUCUGGUGUGAGAGGUAUCUCACUUGAUUAAAAUUAUAUCUGCUACUGCCGAGAGGUUGAAGGACACCCAUUUGUCUUUGCUUGACCAAAAAAAAAAAAAAAAAAAAAAAGGUUUGCUUGAGUCAAAGGUUUGCUUCUGCUGGUUCGAUCGUCUCGACUUGAUGCUUGUGUUUUCUGAUUUGGAAGUCUUGCUGUCGAAGUCUGAUUCUACUGCUCGGUUAUCGUUUUGAAGCAAUCGUCACUGCCCAAGUCGACGUUCGAUUUCUACUGGUUUCGAUUGGUUCUGCAAAUCUGUUAUGCAUACAGUAGCUUCUGGUUGAUCGGUUUCCUGGUUAUCAAAACCUAGUCAAUUAUUCUUGGUUCUUCUAUUUGCUUGUUGAAGUUCGUGGUUACUUGGUUCUCUGCUGCUGAAGGUCUCUCACUGCCAUAAGACUUUCUGUAGUCGCUUGGUUUGUUGGUGCUGGUGUCGAUUGAAGAAGUCCGUUGUCUCUCUCACUGAUUUCCGCCAUGGUUCUUGCUACCACCAUCAGCAGCUUCAGGUUUUCCGCAUGCUGGUCGAAGGGUGAAGAUAAACCUUGUGUUCGAACCAGCGUUACAAUCUUCUCUUUGCCUCUGCUAAAGUCGUUGAUUGGCUACUGAUUUGCUGUUAUGCGUGUCUAGUUGUUGAUCCCAAAUCGAACUACUGGUGGCAGAUUUUCUGCCAUGCUUUUGGCUGAAGCACCUGAUGCUGCUACUUGCUUACCCCGGCACCCGAUACUGGAACUUGUUAUCUCGGCACCCGAUGCUGCUGCUUGCUUACCCCGGCACUCCAAUGCUGCUACUUGCUUACUUCGGCACUUGAUGUUGCUACUUGGUCCCCAACAACCUGAUGUCGAUACAUGCUUACCUCCGCAACCUGUUGUUGCUACUUGCUACCUAAUACCUGCCUUCCUUGGGAAGCGCCUUUGAUACUACUGACUUUAUGAUGGGGAUGAUUGGAGUUCUCUCUGUGCUCUCUAGUGUCUACUACUACUACUCAAGACUGGUGUUAUGUUUAAUUUUCUAUUCUUGUUGGUCCAAGCUGGAAGUUUUCUUUUGAUAGAUGUAUACUCCAGCUUGAGGGGGAGUGUUAAAAUAUGGACCAUGAUAUGGGGAGUGUCCCUAUCGUGUAUGGGUUUUACCUUCCUGUUUUAGUUUAUUUCUUUCCUUAGUUAGGAUAGAUCUCUAUUUACUAAUUAGGAUAGAUUUCUUAACUUAUUUUGCUUGUGGCACACUUAGUUUCCUAGUUUGAUUGUACUUCUUUUGGAGUCAAUAAAUAUUGAUGGUAGGGGGGGACUGAGAUUAUAAUCGGCUGCUCCCCUCUUGCAGUC